ACAUAAACCUCCUGCAGGUGCAAAGCUCACCGGUCGUCAGCUCCGCCAUGGAACUCCCCACUGAUUCAUGCCUCCGCCAGCAACUGUCUGAUGUUUUUCAUGGUAAGGGCCAGAUCCCCGCUUUUGAAGUGGGAUGGUUUCACUGAUCUUCAGAGGAAACUGACCAGAAUCACUGGUCCCUGAAGACUCCACAGAGGAUGACUCUUCAGGAAACCCAGUCUAGAGUACACAGCAUCCAUGCUGUUCGUGAUGGUGGGCUCAACUCACAGAAGAUGACCCACCGUGUUCAACCAGUGACCCCUCCUUUCAAACACCUGUCCUCACCACUCACCGUCUUUCUCUAAAAGUGUUUUAUAAAUGGAAAACCAACUAGACUUAGGCUUUGGACUUAACUUUUACAUACAGAUCUGUAAUCUAUCAACGACACAAACCUGUAUUAUACAAAGAAAACCGAGUA